rnacentral:tRNA from 1 species
GCCGUGGCUCAGCAGUAGAGCGUUUGCUCUGCAUGCAGAAGGUCCCAGGUUCAAUCCCAGGCAUCUCCC